UACGUAGGUGGCAAGCGUUGUCCGGAAUUAUUGGGCGUAAAGAGCUCGUAGGCGGUCUGUCGCGUCUGCUGUGAAAACUCAGGGCUUAACCCUGAGCUUGCAGUGGGUACGGGCAGACUAGAGUGCGGUAGGGGAGACUGGAAUUCCUGGUGUAGCGGUGAAAUGCGCAGAUAUCAGGAGGAACACCGGUGGCGAAGGCGGGUCUCUGGGCCGUAACUGACGCUGAGGAGCGAUAGCAUGGGGAGCGAACAGG
rnacentral:rRNA from 1 species